rfam:Nematostella vectensis strain CH2 x CH6 NEMVEscaffold_630_Cont31120, whole genome shotgun sequence.
GGUAGCGUGGCCGAGCGGUCUGAGGCGCUGGUUUAAGGCGCCAGUCUCUAAAGAGACGUGGGUUGGAAUCCCACCGCUGCCA